rnacentral:lncRNA from 1 species
CAUUUAAUCCUCUGAAUCUGUUAGAUGAUUAUCUUUUACGGAUGAGAAUAUUGACAUGUAACAAUAAGCACAUAUCAAGGGCGCCUGGCCAGCUCAAUCAGUAAAGUAUGGACAUGUUGGGCAUGGAACCUACUUAAAAAAAAAAAAAAGAACAUGUAUCGAGCAUUUCUUAUAUGUGAAGUACUGUGCUUUGUGUAAACUAUCUCAUUGAAUUCUCACGAUUACUUUACUAUGUUGAAGCUCUGUAAUUAUUCCAACCCGUGCUUCUGGGCAUCACCAAGGCCUCCUACUGCUACAUCCCAUGCUCUCUCUCUCUGCAAAUGCCUCCCUCACUGGUUUGGGGUCCAGUAUAUCUAGACAAACUGCAAUACAAGGGUGACCAGAGUGGAAAGGAGGAGGAGUCUGAUUAAUUUCUCAGAACUGGAACGCUGAGAGUGAUUCCUAAGCACUGACAAAACCUCAUCAAUACCCUGUUGUCUCUCCGUCAUUGCCCUUAUCCUGGCACAGGGCCUGACCCAUGUCAUUUGUGUUUCUCCAGAAACAGAUCAGUUUCUGGGCAGUGGCAGACCAGUGCUGGGAGGCACUCUCCCCUGAAGAAUUUUCCAUAGGAAGGUGACUACUUAUUUAACUCCUCUCCCUCCUGCUCUGGCUGCAAAGGGCAGGACAGAACUGGAAACUUCCCUGAUGCUGUCUCCACCUUCUCCCUGGUUCCUCUCACGGAGUGUGAAUUGGUUCAGCCCCCCUGCUUCCAGCAACUGAACCCUGGAUUCGACAGAGAUGGAGACCUGGAGAUUGGGAGCUUUUUCUUUAUGUGUCAGUUGAAAGCAGUUUCACGGAAUGAAAAUUGUUUAAGCAACAUCCCUACCUGGCCUGUGAUGUUUAUAAAAAAAUGUGUGCUGACCGUCAAAACAGCUUUCCUACUUUACAAUAUUGCUAUCAGCCUUUGUGUGAAGAUGCUAUCUUGUUUAAUCUGGUGAAAAGAAUCCAAGAGGUUGUGGUUACGUGGCAUGCAUUGCUAUGGUAAAGAGGUAAGUCGUGAUGUGUAUGCAGUCUAUUACCAUCAAAGUUAUGAGGCUCCUGGUGGUGUGAAAGAGUUAUAGUCCUUCAGAAGUCUGGAAAAGUUUCCAGAUAACCAUCUCAAGGAUUACCUGAGAUCUCUCACAAAUCCAGAUUUGCACGAGUAAGUGCUAAACAGUAACUGAAUAUGUUCCUAGAGAAUUCUGCUAUCUUUCAGCCACAUCAACUCAGAAAUAUAUUAUUUCCCUGUGGCAGGAAUGUUUCAAAACCUCUAAUCCACUUAAAGCAUAAGCCAUUAGAAUAUAGAAUCCUCAGUUCACAUCACAAUAUGAGACACCACAGGAGGUCCUCAUUAAGGUGAGUGAAUGGGUUCUUCUGGGGCUACUACAGAUAAGGACUCAAACAUCAAAUCUUUCAUGGGCACAAAAGGAGGAUGAAAUUCCUAGUUUUAAUGACAAGAAUAGAAAUAAUGUUGACAUGGCUAUGCCUGGUGGGUAAGCAUUAUGAUACAGAGCUGGCAAUGAGAAAACAAAAAGGACACCUAGGAUAUGAAAUAAGAAUCAACGUGGGGAAGUAUGUCAACGAGUCAUCUGCAAAGAUGACUUAAGAGAAUUUAUGGCUAGUGAGAAGCGGAAAUUUGAGCUUUCAUAGACCACCUAAUAUAUGACUAUGCUUCCUUGGACACCUAUCAGUUUGCAUUGUUGGCUUGUUAAUGUAAUUCUUUUUAACUUGAAUUUUUAUAGCCCUUGAAGUGGAAAAAUAUUAUAACUAAGGGAUCAACAUAUUUUGUUCAUGUUGUUUUGUUCAUUUAUUGUUAUAAUAGUAUUAGUGUUGAGUAUUUGAAAUUUGUUUAAGCAUACUAUAAGAUAAAAUAAAUGUGUAAUUCUGCUCAUGUGUUUAUGAAUCAUUAUUUUCAGUGUAAUAUGAAAGAAAUACUCUUAAAAUACCAGGGUUUUAUGAAAAAUAUAACAAUAUAAACUCAUAAUUUAAAACAGUAUGUUCUGAUUCCUUGCCAUGUCCAGUGAAGGUGAUCAAGACUCAGUGACAUCCCAUUGGUUAUGAACACCUGUGGCUGACAGAUUGGGAUUUUCAUUUUUUAAUUUUUAUUUUUUACAUUUAUUUAUUUUUGAGAGACAGAGAGAAACAGAGCACAAGUGGGGAAGGGGCAGAGAGAGGAGACACAGAAUCCAAGGCAGGCUCCGGGCUCCGAGCUGUUAGCACAGAGCCUGACAUGGGGCUCGAAUUCACAAACCAUGAGAUCAUAGCCUGAGCCGAAGUUGGACGCUCAACCGACUGAGCCACCCAGGUGCCCCAGAUUGGGGUUUUCAAAUACCAUUACCCACUAAGAGAAACCAGUGUUGUUUGGAGGGAUGGCUAACUCCAAGUCUGGCAGAGUCAAUAUGCAGGAUGAAUCUGAAGUAUUUUAACUAUGGCAUUUUCUUAACAGCAUACUUCAAAGGGCAUAAGUUAUCAUUAUAAUGAACUCUAAUUUAUCAAUUCUUAAUUUAAUGCUCUGGGUGUUUUUUU